CUAAUACAUGCAAGUCGAGCGAACUGAUUAGAAGCUUGCUUCUAUGACGUUAGCGGCGGACGCCCUGAGUAACACGUGGGCAACCUGCCUGUAAGACUGGGAUAACUUCGGGAAACCGAAGCUAAUACCGGAUAGGAUCUUCUCCUUCAUGGGAGAUGAUUGAAAGAUGGUUUCGGCUAUCACUUACAGAUGGGCCCGCGGUGCAUUAGCUAGUUGGUGAGGUAACGGCUCACCAAGGCAACGAUGCAUAGCCGACCUGAGAGGGUGAUCGGCCACACUGGGACUGAGACACGGCCCAGACUCCUACGGGAGGCAGCAGUAGGGAAUCUUCCGCAAUGGACGAAAGUCUGACGGAGCAACGCCGCGUGAGUGAUGAAGGCUUUCGGGUCGUAAAACUCUGUUGUUAGGGAAGAACAAGUACGAGAGUAACUGCUCGUACCUUGACGGUACCUAACCAGAAAGCCACGGCUAACUACGUGCCAGCAGCCGCGGUAAUACGUAGGUGGCAAGCGUUAUCCGGAAUUAUUGGGCGUAAAGCGCGCGCAGGCGGUUUCUUAAGUCUGAUGUGAAAGCCCACGGCUCAACCGUGGAGGGUCAUUGGAAACUGGGGAACUUGAGUGCAGAAGAGAAAAGCGGAAUUCCACGUGUAGCGGUGAAAUGCGUAGAGAUGUGGAGGAACACCAGUGGCGAAGGCGGCUUUUUGGUCUGUAACUGACGCUGAGGCGCGUAAUGCUGGACCCC
rnacentral:rRNA from 2 species